rnacentral:rRNA from 1 species
ACUCCUACGGGAGGCAGCAGUGGGGAAUAUUGCACAAUGGGGGAAACCCUGAUGCAGCCAUGCCGCGUGUGUGAAGAAGGCCUUCGGUUGUAAAGCACUUUCAGUAGGGAGGAAGGUAGUGUAGUUAACACCUGCAUUAUUUUGACGUUACCUACAGAAGAAGCACCGGCUAACUCCGUGCCAGCAGCCGCGGUAAUACGGAGGGUGCGAGCGUUAAUCGGAAUUACUGGGCGUAAAGCGCAUGCAGGCGGCCUGUUAAGUCAGAUGUGAAAGCCCGGGGCUUAACCUCGGAAUUGCAUUUGAAACUGGCAGGCUAGAGUCUUGUAGAGGGGGUAGGAA